UAGGGACUAUAUAUGAGUCCUAUUAGCACACACAAGCCGCUCAGGCCUUAGGGGAAGACCGUGCGACCACCAGCUGAGAUCAAAGGCAACAGUUUUCCUUUCUCUCUCUCUGCAACCUAUUAUCUUUUGUUUACACUUAUUUUUGAAAGUGAUACACACUUUCACAUGACACACGCAAUUCAAUGCAUUUUUCCCUUUUUCUCUCCUUUUUCUUUUUACCUGGCACUGUUUAUCGCUUGCUGCUUCAGCUGCCUCUUCUCACUUACCAUUGAGGAUCUGAGUGUUCACUAACACUCUCCCUUCGGAGAUAAAACAAGAGAUCGCUGAUCUGUCUCAUCUAUUUGGUGGCAAAUAUUUUAUUGCUGUGUGCACUAGCUAGCUAUCGGCUUCCCCAAUCACAUCCAUGCUAAUGGAAUUUUCUCAUAUUGUUUUGUAUACAUACGUGUCCCUGAGGAAGCCCGAAUGGGCGAAACAUGUAGGACCAACUGUAUAUAACAUUAUAUAAAUCAACCAAUGGUGAAAUGUAAUCUUUCAUAUGAUCA